UGCGCAGGCGGAAUAAUAAGUCAGUGGUGAAAUCCUACAGCUUAACUGUAGAACUGCCAUUGAAACUGUUAUUCUUGAGUACAGUUGUAGUGGGCGGAAUGUGUUAUGUAGCGGUGAAAUGCAUAGAUAUGACACAGAACACCGAUCGCGAAGGCAGCUCACUAAGCUGUAACUGACGCUCAGGCACGAAAGCGUGGGGAGCAAACAGGAUUAGAUACCCUGGUAGUCC
rnacentral:rRNA from 1 species